GACUGGCCUGGGAUCUGCAUGCUGUGGUCGGCAUGUAAUCACCAUCCUCCACCUCGUGGGGUCUCAGUUUCUGCAGAAAAACUCAGAGAUAUGUGUCCGAUCGCUAUGCACCUCCCUUUAGGAGGAACUAGCAGUCCUUGACCCUGUUGUUCAACCUAUCAUUAUUUUUUUUUUUUUUUUGCUUUCCCACAUUUUUGCAUCUUCCACUCCUUUAACCAGUAACGGUUUAAGUCUGCUCUUUGGAACUUGGGAAGGCCUAGGAGAUGAAAGCUUUUUCUCCAGUCAAGAAGUGGGAACAUGGAGGGGCUUGUUUCUUGGAGGGUCCUGCAGGCUGUUGCUCGGUUUCAAGAGGUACGUGGAAGACCUCAUGUCAGCCUCCCUGCCAUUAGAGGGGGCGGUGUGACUGGUCCUGACAUGAUGUGUCGCUUCUGGUCUGCACCACAGAUGUGAGCGCUCCAAGCAAACUCGCCUCUCACAUAGGCCACAGGCCACCUCGAGGCGGGCAAAGCCUCUGUGAGCCUGAGUGACUCUGGGCAAAACACGAGUCCUACACACCCACUGACCUGGGCUGCAUCUUCACUACAAACAAGAAACCUGGGUUUGUUGAAGGAUUUUUGUUCUGCAGCCUAACUUGGCCUAUUCUGACGAAUACAGCCAAUGACCACUUACAAGGGGACGACAAAGGCUUGCAUACGUUAUAAGACACACAAAUGCUCCACUGUGUGACUGUCCUGUGGCCUCAUCACAUUAGUCAGGCAGGAUCUAAAGGUCAAAAGCCCCUUGGGGGAGGCUGCCCGCCUGCAGGUUCACUUGUGUGAGAGCUGGAGCAGUGAGUCAGUGCCCGCUGCACUGCGAGUUGGAACGUGGAAGAGCAUCAGGAGAAUACGCAAGACACGCGGUGAAACAGCGUCACCAUCACAUUCUCGGAGCCCUGUCCUCGAUUGAUCUGUGUUUAAAUGUUUAAAACGCACCCUAUUUCAUUUUUAGGUUUUGAAGUGACAGGUUGACAUUUGCAAGAAGGAGCACCAUCUGUGGCUCGUCGCGUUUGCAGUGUGCAUCGGGGUGGCGCCCACUGCACACCUCCCAGGACACCCUGUUUCUCCUCCACAGACAGCAUUUGGCCAGAUACGACAGGCCUUCGGGCAGGGGCAGGAAGAAUCUAUUGUUUGGCAGCGCCUCCAAAUUUACCUCCUCCAAAAAUUCCACUUGUUUUUGGUUCCUGCCUUGGCAGCAAAUUUUACUAGGAUGGGUACCAUAUGCUCUAGUGUUUCUGAAACCAUCCCAGUUUCUAACAUUUUGCUUGUCUCUGUAACCCAUUAAAAUACCCCAGAAAUUCCAAUAUUAUAGCAUACAAACAACAUCUAUCAGACAGCUUUUCAACCCUAUGAACUAUAGCCCACCAGGCUCCU
ensembl:lncRNA